UUGAACGAUAUCAUUUUGUGAGGCCUGGAGUAAGUCCUAUUCUGGAUAAGGCUGGUAUCCAAGAUGUAAUGUCUAAGUCACAAAAAAGGGAAAAUGAACACAGCACAAUGUGAUUUUCUUUCCAUUCCUUAUAUAAUUCCUAAGUUCCAGUGACGUCAUCGUAAACGAUUGAUCAGCUCAAUGUUCAAAUAACAUUGGCCUCAACUCAGCAGGAUCCUGUUUUAAAUAAAAAUAGUUUAUAAAAUACUACCUUCUCUUUUAUAUACCUUAGGCCUUCCCAUUUAAUGCUGGAAAGAAAUAUGUUAUACAAAAAAUAAAAUAUUGCGUUUUAUAAAUAUAUUCACUUUCAUACAACAAGAAAUUAUCAAGUCAUAAGAUUCAGAAGAUAGUUUUUGUAUCGGAGGAAAAAAUAAUCUGAUAAAAUUUACUUUGAAAAGGAAGAAAGAGUAAUUUUUUUGACAAUGGCUGGUGUGGACAUAAACUUGGCUCUAAGCAUUGUGCAAGGUAUUUCAUUAAUCAUAUUUGUAUCACUUUGCACAUUCGUUUCAUGGAAUGCUUACCACAAGAUACAACAGGAGGAUGACAGGGACUGGAUGUACCGAUAUCACAUAUUUUUCUUCGUUCUUCUCAUCAUUUCAGCCAUUUGGAAAUAUUUUAGUUCCUUUAAUUUCUUAUCUGUUUUGGGAGUGUUUGAAUACAACACUCCAAUGAUUAUCAUUUACUUAAUAACAAAUUAUCUUCUCCAAAUGCGAACUGGAUGCAUAAUUGCUUUAGCCCUUGACAAAAUAUUCAGUAAAACUCCAAAUCUAUAUUAUAUGACACCAAAAUGGCGCAAGAUAUUUUUCUACUUCUUUUCAAUUCUAUUCCCUUUGUGUUCUCUCAUCAUUGGAGCGCAUGGUAUCCCAUAUCUGACAACUGGAAUUUAUUUUAUUCACUCCUUUAUUGAGAUUGGACUAUUUAUCUUCAUACAUUUAAAAUCUGUUGUUUUAUCCCUUUUUGACAAGACAAUUUUUAUAUAUAUACUCGUUGAUGUCGUACACUAUCUUACUUUUGCUAUUUUCAGCCUUAUAUUUUAUGGGUCUGAAGCAUAUUACAUAACCAAUUUUUUAGAAGCAUUUGUACAACAUGGUUUUCCUAUAGCUUAUGUUAUUUUUAUUUAUCUAAAAGUGGGUCAAAAGAAAUCUGCAAAUGAAUUGGAGAUCUUAGUGUGAAAAAGGAACAACAAUAAACAACUAAUAAUAUUUACUAUUUUUUAACAAUUGUUCAUCAUAACGAAUCACAAUUCAACAAAAAUAUAUACUUGUAUGAUUGUUUAAUUAAGAGUAUAAAGAAUCAAGCCCAUUUACUUAAUUUUUCUAUGUAUAAUAGCAUGGACCACCAAGAAACGUUUGAUCAAGCAACAAGUGCAGAUGUUUAUUCCAGAAUGUAGUUGCAAGUCGAGACUUUACUUGUAACAAUAACAUUUUUUUCUUAUCUUCAAGGAUUCAAUUUUAUGCAUAUCUGUAUUCGAGCAUCUUUAUUAAUAAAAAAUAAAGAGUGAUACUUAAGGUUUUUAUUUUCUAUAGUCAAUUGUUUUUGAUCAAUGUCAUACUUGUUAAUUUUUUUGAAUUAUGUUAUUGUAAUAUAAUAUGUUUGUUUUUUUAAUAAAAAUAUUUUGAUUGAAAA
rnacentral:lncRNA from 1 species